CUAUCAAACAAAAAGUAGGGUUGGUCUAUAGAGCAGGGUUUCUAUACUUUUAUGAGUAUAGAGCACUUCGUACUCAUAAGUUAUUUUAGAUGUUGGGAUUUUCAAAUCAACGAUCCACACCGUUAAAUAUGAUCUAGAGUAUUUAAAACUUCUAGAAAAUAAAUGUCAUAAUUUUUUGAAAUCAUUAUAAAUUCAUCAAGCGGGUAUAAAAUGAACGGUCAAAAUCGAACGACACCCUAAAAAUGGAUGAUCGGAUCAUUCAAUUUAAAACCGGAGUUAUUGAUCUUUAUUUAGGUAGUGAAUAAAAUUUUCUAUAAAAAAUUCAACCUAUUCCGAUUCUUUUUCACUGUUAAAAUAACAAAUAUCUCAUACCGGUCGUUAAAAAUUGUCAAUUUUGUGAGCUUUUGAUCGUAAGGUAAAUGAUAUCAAAAAAUUAUAAAAUUUNAAAUAACAAAUAUCUCAUACCGGUCGUUAAAAAUUGUCAAUUUUGUGAGCUUUUGAUCGUAAGGUAAAUGAUAUCAAAAAAUUAUAAAAUUUAAUUUCUAAAAGUUUUAAAUGCUCUAGAUUAUAUUUAACAGUAUGAAUCGUUAAUUCGAAAGUUCUAUCAACGAAAACAACUUAUGAGUACGAAGGCAAUCGUACUCAUAAGAGUAUAGUAGCCGAACUCUUGGCCUAUAUACCAUAUAUAU
rnacentral:lncRNA from 1 species